AUUGAACGCUGGCGGCAUGCUUUACACAUGCAAGUCGAGCGGUAACAGGCCUUCGGGUGCUGACGAGUGGCGAACGGGUGAGUAAUGCAUCGGAACGUACCCAGAGGUGGGGGAUAACGCAGCGAAAGCUGUGCUAAUACCGCAUGUGAUCUGAGGAUGAAAGCGGGGGACCGAGCAGCAAUGUUUGGCCUCGCGCCUUUGGAGCGGCCGAUGUCGGAUUAGCUAGUUGGUGGGGUAAAGGCCUACCAAGGCGACGAUCCGUAGCUGGUCUGAGAGGACGACCAGCCACACUGGGACUGAGACACGGCCCAGACUCCUACGGGAGGCAGCAGUGGGGAAUUUUGGACAAUGGGCGCAAGCCUGAUCCAGCAAUGCCGCGUGCGGGAAGAAGGCCUUCGGGUUGUAAACCGCUUUUGGCAGGAACGAAGCGGUGUCCGCUAAUACCGGGCGCUAAUGACGGUACCUGCAGAAUAAGCACCGGCUAACUACGUG
rnacentral:rRNA from 1 species